rnacentral:lncRNA from 1 species
GAUUAACCUGUUGUCCAUGUAACAUGAAUGAAGUGAAACAGCCAAAGGAUGAAUGAAGAUUUGGCAGAAGAUUGCUUAUACAAAUGAUUAAAGUGCAGGAGACAUUUCUACAUUUGUAGAACCAACAAAAAUGACCUCAGACAUUUCCUUGCUGUGGUAUGUGGCCGUGUAUCUCCUCAUAUACUGUGAAAAGCUUCUGGAAGAACAAUAUUAUCUUCAUUCAGGGAAGAGAAU